rnacentral:rRNA from 1 species
CCUACGGGAGGCUGCAGUGGGGGAUAUUGCACAAUGGGGGAAACCCUGAUGCAGCGACGCCGCGUGUGGGAAGACGGUCCUCUGGAUUGUAAACCACUGUCCCCAGGGACGAAGAUGACGGUACCUGGGGAGGAAGCUCCGUCUAACUACGUGCCAGCAGCCGCGGUAAUACGUAGGGAGCGAGCGUUGUCCGGAAUUACUGGGUGUAAAGGGAGCGUAGGCGGGGAUGCAAGUUGGGUGUCAAAACUACCGGCUCAACUGGUAGUCGCACUCAAAACUGCAGCUCUUGAGUGAAGUAGAGGCAGGCGGAAUUCCUAGUGUAGCGGUGAAAUGCGUAGAUAUACGGAGGAACACCAGUGGCGAAGGCGGAUUGCUGGACAGUAACUGACGCUGAGGCGCGAAAGCGUGGGGAGCAAACAGGAUUAGAUACCCGAGUAGUC